AUUGAACGCUGGCGGCAGGCCUAACACAUGCAAGUCGAACGAGUGGCGGACGGGUGAGUAAUUUCUGGGAAACUGCCUGAUGGAGGGGGAUAACUACUGGAAACGGUAGCUAAUACCGCAUACCAUCGGAUGUGCCCAGAUAGGAUUAGCUAGUAGGUGGGGUAAAGGCUCACCUAGGCGACGAUCCCUAGCUGGUCUUAGCGGAUGACCAGCCACACGGGAACUGAGACACGGUCCAGCCUCCUACGGGAGGCAGCAGUGGGGAAUAUUGCACAAUGGGCGCAAGCCUGAUGCAGCCAUGCCGCGGGGAUGAAGAAGGCCUUCGGGUUGUAAAGUACUUUCAGCGGGGAGGCGUUACCCGCAGAAGAAGCAACGGCUAACUCCGUGCCAGCAGCCGCGGUAAUAC
rnacentral:rRNA from 1 species